rnacentral:rRNA from 1 species
UAACGGCCGCGGUAUCUUAACCGUGCAAAGGUAGCGUAAUCAACCGUCUUUUAAAUGAAGACCCGUAUGAAUGGUGAAACGAAAACUCAACUGUCUCACUCUUUUGACCAAUGAAAUUGAUCUCUCCGUGCGGAAGCGGGGAUAAAUACAUAAGACAAAAAGACCCUGUGGAGCUUUAGACUAAUCAGCUUAAGCUUUACAAAUAUUCUAUGUGUAGCUUAAAUACUGCAUACAUCUUAGGUUGGGGCGAUCACGGAGAAAAAUACACCCUCCACGAAGGAAAAACAUACGUUUAAUAAUUAAGAGCUACUGCUCUAAAUGCUAAAAUAUUUAACUUUAUGAACCGGCUUGCCGAUUAACGAACCCAGCUACCCCAGGGAUAACAGCGCAAUCUCCCUAAAGAGCACCUAUCAAUAGGGAGGCUUACGACCUCGAUGUUGGAUCAGGACAUCCUAAUGGCGCAUCCACUAUUAAGGGUUCGUUUGUUCAACGAUUAAAGUCCUACGUGAUCUG